AGCUUUGCGCAGUGGCAGUAUCGUAGCCAAUGAGGUUUAUCCGAGGCGCGAUUAUUGCUAAUUGAAAACUAAAGGGGCUCACUAGCUU
rnacentral:snRNA from 1 species